rnacentral:lncRNA from 1 species
CGGACAAUGAAGGGGGGGGGGGGCAGCGCUUUUUCUGCCCGCAAAACCCCGAAAACGCCGUUUUUUCACCGAAAAAAGACCCCAAAUCGCUCCGGAAUACCCCCCAAAAAUCCCUUUCGAGAGGAAUUGGGGUCCAAAAGACCCAAAACCGGCGGAAUUUACCCCAAAAAUCGGAGCGUUUCCCCUUCGGCGCCGCGCGGUGCUCCGCUCUGAGGAGACAAAAUGGCGGCGGCAAAAUGGCGGCAACAGCGCGUAGAUGGAAAAUGGGCGCCGCUGAUUGGCUGCCGCCACCCGGAUGUCCCGCCCCCGCCGCUGAUUGGUUGAUCGCACCCCGGAAGUGUCGCCCCCCCCUCCGCCAUGGG